UACAGAGGGUGCAAGCGUUAAUCGGAAUUACUGGGCGUAAAGCGUGCGUAGACGGUUACAUAAGUCAGGUGUGAAAGCCCCGGGCUCAACCUGGGAAUUGCAUUUGAGACUGUGUAGCUAGGGUGCGGAAGAGGGAAGCGGAAUUCCAGGUGUAGCGGUGAAAUGCGUAGAUAUCUGGAGGAACACCGGUGGCGAAGGCGGCAUCCUGGACCAACACUGACACUGAGGAGCGAAAGCCAGGGGAGCAAACAGG
rnacentral:rRNA from 1 species